UACAGAGGUCCCGAGCGUUGUUCGGAUUCACUGGGCGUAAAGGGUGCGUAGGUGGCGAGGUAAGUCGGAUGUGAAAGCUCGGAGCUCAACUCCGAAAUGGCAUUGGAAACUACCUUGCUCGAGGGUUGGAGGGGGGACUGGAAUACUUGGUGUAGCAGUGAAAUGCGUAGAUAUUGGGAGGAACACCAGUGGCGAAGGCGGCGACCUGGGCCAAUACUGACGCUGAGGUGCGAAAGCGCGGGGAGCAAACAGG
rnacentral:rRNA from 1 species